rnacentral:rRNA from 1 species
GAUGAACGCUGGCGGCGUGCCUAACACAUGCAAGUCGAGCGAUUUACUUCGGUAAAGAGCGGCGGACGGGUGAGUAACGCGUGGGUAACCUGCCCUGUACACACGGAUAACAUACCGAAAGGUAUGCUAAUACGAGAUAAUAUGCUUUUAUCGCAUGGUAGAAGCAUCAAAGCUUUUGCGGUACAGGAUGGACCCGCGUCUGAUUAGCUAGUUGGUAAGGUAACGGCUUACCAAGGCGACGAUCAGUAGCCGACCUGAGAGGGUGAUCGGCCACAUUGGCACUGAGACACGGUCCAAACUCCUACGGGAGGCAGCAGUGGGGAAUAUUGCACAAUGGGCGAAAGCCUGAUGCAGCAACGCCGCGUGAGCGAUGAAGGCCUUCGGGUCGUAAAGCUCUGUCCUCAAGGAAGGUAGUGACGGUACUUGAGGAGGAAGCCCCGGCUAACUACGUGCCAGCCGCCGCAGUAA